UCUUGUGAACUUUUGGGAAGGAACAAGUAAUUUAGGAUCUGAAGGACACCUAAUUCAAUACCAUCCAAAAUUCGGUAGUUGCCUGUUGUCGGUGCAGAUGUGAAGCUGCAGCGCAGGAGCUCAGAGAGAUGGAACGUCAUACCAUGCUACAUAUUUCAGCUGUCAAGACCUCGGUCAUUUCCCCCUGACAUCUCUUUUCUGAGUUGAGGCUUCCUCCCACAUGGAUACAGGAACUCUGCAGUAGCAAAAUCACUGUAAUGCUUUGUGAGAUCCUGCAUGCCUUUGUGACCAUUCCUGAGCCUUGAGCUGGCGUUUUUAGAGCUCUAUCUGCAGGAGCCCCAAGCAAAAUGAUAGGUGACUCUGAGAGCAGAAGGAAGCACAGAACGCUCACCAAGUGGAGAACUGCACAUGCAGAAGUGCUAAUUGUGUGGCUGGCUGGGAGCACGCAGGAACAGCAGCACGAGCAGUGGAAGGGAAACCCAGAUCUCCCAAGUACCAGACCAGCAGCUCCUCCAAGGAUCACGGGUUUUGCUCUGGUUGCUGCAUGAUGCUCAACUACCCUGUUCCUGAAGUGGGGCGAGUGCUUGCUGCAGCUGAUGGAGAAAACUUCGGCGUUUUGGAGGUAGUUACACUUCCCUGAUCACAGCAAUACGGAAGCUCUUCAAGAAGUGCAUCAUCACAGGACUUGCAUUUGUCUUCUGUGGCUCUGCCUUCUUCCGUGUCCCUGAGGUAACAACAGAGGUGUUUCCUUGCUCUGCUUGGCUAGAGCAUCCUGGUGAGUAGCAGGACCUCCUGGCCUGGUGGAAGGAGGCAGGAGUAUUGUCUCACGAGUGUUGUCACAUCUCAAAGGAGUUUCCCACUGGGAUUUCUGCAGUGAUUUCAACAGCAAGCGGGAGAACUGAGUCUGAAUUUUCUAUGAAGCUGUUGUUGCACAGGUGUCUGUGGAUGCCCAGAAGCCCAGGUGGUCUCCAAAGGAGGCUGGAAAGGUUCUUCCGUCUCAGAGAAGACAUCGCUGGGCUGGACCCAGGACUGUAAUCUAGCCCUACAGUGUUCCGGCAUGUGAAUUUUGCAGGGUCAGAGCUAGCAAACUCAUGCCGUUUGUGCAUUGUUCAUUCACUCCUGUCCACCAACCCCAAAGAAACACGUUUCCCCUAUGAAGAGCUGCCUCCAUAAUGAAGAUACAAAUAAUUAAGAUAAUGAAGAUGACCCAGUGACAGUCCAUUCCUGCUGCCGCCCCGGCACUGGGAGGAGCUGGAGCAUGUGCCACCCGCUCAACAUCCUCAACAACCUCUUGGGCUAAGCUUAGCUUAACCAAUACAAAUAUAUCUGCCGUGUGAACACAAGUGCAUUUAAUCACUGAGAUAAAUUUAAAGUAAUUGCUCAGGUGACAUUCGCCCUUCCAGGGGCAUUUGUGAAUGAGCAGGGGUUUUCUGGGUAACCCCACGCUCUGCCCAGGUGCUGACAGCGACUUUUCCAGACAGCCAAAGCACAAUUCUUCCUUUUGAAUAUCUUCCCUGCGGCCCUUGGAGUGGUUUCAAGUGAAAAACAAAACGGCGACAUUUUAAACAUUGCCUCCCACGCAGUGUCUCUCUUCAGCCUUCGUUGCCGCUUGCUGUGGGUUCAGAAGUCUCUGGUGGAUCAGCCUGCCCCCGAAAAAACGUGGGUUUGCCAAAAUAGAAGCAUUUUUGCAGAAGGCAAUGAUUUGGCUGAAUGUUUUGCCAGCAUGCGUCUCUGGAGUUUGCGAUUUGUUUUAGCAUUUUUGUGUCUUUGUUUAAUUUUGGAUUUCAUUUUCUUGUACA